rfam:Camelus ferus unplaced genomic scaffold scaffold1852, whole genome shotgun sequence.
GGGGGUAUAGCUCAGUGGUAGAGCAUGUGCUUGCCAUGCACUAGGUCCUGGGUUCAAUCCCCAGUGUCUCUG